GGAAGCAGGUGGGACGCAGGACGAUGACCUAUGAAUUGACAGCCAGCGUAUGUGGAGGACCUGCCUGUCAGUUCUGUAGGCCAAUGUCCUGUUUGUCCUCCGGCGGCU
rnacentral:pre_miRNA from 14 species